rnacentral:misc_RNA from 1 species
GGACUACUUGGGUAUCUAAUCCUGUUUGCUCCCCACGCUUUCGUGCCUCAGUGUCAGUGUUGGUCCAGGUAGCUGCCUUCGCCAUGGAUGUUCCUCCUGAUCUCUACGCAUUUCACUGCUACACCAGGAAUUCCGCUACCCUCUACCACACUCUAGUCGCCCAGUAUCCACUGCAGUUCCCAGGUUGAGCCCAGGGCUUUCACAACGGACUUAAACGACCACCUACGCACGCUUUACGCCCAGUAAUUCCGAGUAACGCUUGCACCCUUCGUAUUACCGCGGCUGCUGGCACGAAGUUAGCCGGUGCUUAUUCUUUGGGUACCGUCAUCCCAACCGGGUAUUAACCAGCUGGAUUUCUUUCCCAACAAAAGGGCUUUACAACCCGAAGGCCUUCUUCACC